UGUUUUAUCACUCUUUAUUGUUGAAACCACAUAAUUAAUAUCUGGACUUAUUCAGAAACAUGGAAAGAUAUUUUCUUAAAUUAUUAUUACAUUUUUGACUACUUUUUGAACACAUCUCUAUAACUCAAUUUACUGUAUUAGCUUUCUAAGCUAAACAAAAUAGGCCCAAAACUUGUCAUGGUAUACAGGUAAAAUGUUAUAAUUGGUGAAAAAUGAUAGUUUUCAAUUUUGUGAUCAUGAUUUUUGCAAGCGACUGGAGGUACUGCCCCAGCCCUGUAAUGAAUAAAAUCCUAUCCUAGAGGUCCCAAAAUUUUAAAGGACUGGUAAUAAUUAUAAUUGUUAAAUACAAUAUGACUUAAGUUCAGAUAUACUUAUUUCAUACAUGUAGAUCUGAUUUCCACAGUUUUGCCUUCAUCAGAUGUAGGAUUUCAUAUUUAUGGUCAGUCCAUAAUUUUAUAGAUUUUUUAUUUGUAAAUUUAUAGACAUUUAUAUGAAAAAAGUAGUUGUAUUAAAAUUCAAAACCACAGGUCAAUAAUAAUAAGAUUACUGAUUAUAUUAUUAAAUAUAACAGAUUCCAGAUAAUGUGAGUAUCGGCGUAUUUUACGCUUUAAAAUCAACUAAAAACAUACAACGUUACCAAUUUGUUGCGUUCAUUUACGCACUCUGUAAAUUUAUUACGCAAAGAAUGUAAAUUUGAAGCGUUUUCGGUGUGUACUUUCAUUUUCGAAACAGCUGAUUGACCGCUUCCAUUAACAGUUGACUGUGUAUCUAUUUCCAAUUAAUACCCGUCAAGAUACUUUCAACUAUUUUUCUCUGUAAACCAGUCAAAUUACGUCUUUAUUGCUUAGGUGCUUGAUAAAACAAUUGUUCUAUUUUCUUGAUAAUUGCAAGGAUUUAUUAAUACACAUGUAGUGCAUGGUUGCUUCAAGGGCUAAUCAAAUUGACAUUUUUUUCACACAAAAUUUUACUCGAUAGAUUUUUGAUCUAUUUAAAUUUACCCCCACAUUCUGGAAAGUGGGGGUAAGUAAUUACCCCCAGUGUCAAAAAAUUAUCUGGAACUCUGUAUAACAGUAUGGUAAUAUUUAGAACAAUUUGAUGACUAUCAAUUUUUACUUUAAACAAAAAUUUAAAAGUCAUCAUACACUGAUGAAACUGACCUCAUUACCUUUGUUGAUAUAAACUAUCAAUAAAAACAACUUGUCUUUAGCAGUGGAAUUUAUAUACAUCAUAUUAAGUCAUCAUUACUUUUAUUUUUUAACAUCUAUAUGAUUAUUAUACUAAUAGUAUUCAAAAAUUUUGUUGAUGGAAGUUUAUGAAUUGGUAGAGGAAGGAAUAAUUAAUCAUGGCAGUGGCUAGCAGUAUGAACCAGUAUUGUUUGACAAAAGUGCUGGCUGUAUGCGAGUCGCAUACGACUAGCAUAUACUCACUGUUGAGGCUAGCUGUACAGCAUUUUAAAAAUGAGUUGCCUAAAACAAUAAUAUGCAAACUUGUUUUUCUAAAAGAAGAUUUUAUUGAAUAUCAUAUACAAUUUCAGUCAAUGCGAAAGUCAAAAAAAAAUUCCUGCCGCAAGGACUUGAAUCCUUAGAUUUAUUUCCGGCCCUGAUGAUUUUUUACCGGCCCGGACUCUGAAAGGUUUUUUUUGUAGGGAUGGGGGAGGGAUAUUGCCAUAAUUAUAAAGAAAAAUAUUUAGCAUAUAUGAAUUGUCAGACUCAACUAUAAGAUACUAUGAAAAAAAUAUACAGAAACAUAAUUAAUAAAACAUUAGCAUAAUUCACAAGAAAACAAUACAUCUUUCAAAGGUUUAAUUUUGAAGAUUGGAGAAAAAAUAUGUUUUGGUAAGGAAAUUAUCAAAGACAAGAUGGUGGCUGACAUUACUUAGCAAAAACUGGUCGUAUCCUGCGGUGAUUUUGGUUAUCUUGGUCUGUGAAUACAAGCAAAAAUUAAAAAAAUAGAUUGAUCUUGGAAGCUUUGCAUAUUUUAGAAGGCCAAAAAUUGUUUCAAACUGGCUGAAAUUUUAUUUGGACAUGACAACUGACUGUAUCGAAAUUUAUCUCGGCCCUACUGAUUUUUAGUUGGCGAGGUCCGAGGACCGACAGUCUUUCGCACAGACUGCAAUUUACAGUUGGUAUAGUAAUUUUUAGUGUUUGAUGAUCAGAAGAUAUGUUUUCCUUCUGAAAAUCAUGGAGUUGAAUAAUUUAAAUCUGUGUGAAAGCGCAAAGAGAAAGAGACUGAAAAUUAAUUUAUUAUUUCUAUGGACAAUAUAGAUGUAAUACAUUUGUAAUCAAACAUGUGGGUCAAUUUCCAACAGUAGUUGAAUUUAUAUGACAAAGUAUUUUUAAUAAUUUUAUUUCACUUUUAGCUACUUGAAAAUUUCAUGCUGGAUGUUUGCUUACCAUUACAUUUUGCAUAAGAGCUCUAUGAUUGACAUUAAAGUCCACGGGCCAAUUCAUUUCUGAUAUAUCUUUCCGAUAUCUUGUUAUAAUAUAAAAGGCUGAACGUCAUCAUAGAAUUAUUAGGAAAAAAUAUAUAUGUUCAUUCUUUGUAAAAAUGUUAGAAGACUUGCAAGUUACUGAUUUUAUCAUUGCAUUGAUUUUAUUUAUUAUUGAAAAAUGCUGAACGGCUAUCCUCAACAGUGUGUAUAGGCUAGAACUUUCAGUUUGCAUUUUAGGGUCAUGACGGCUUUCCCGUUGCUGUCAACAAACUAACCUUUUUCAUAACUUUUCAGAUCUUGGUGUAUUGUCUUCAUACUUGGCCACAACAACCCUUCAAAUAGACCAGACUAAACUUGACCUCCAUAUAAACAUUCAAGAUGGUCGGCCUACAUGUCAGAUUUGUGAAUGUGAACGGCAGGAUAUCGAGUUUAAGGAUGCUUUAGGGUCAAUGAGAAUGAAAUCAAGAGAGAUAAAGGCUAAAAUGUGAGACUGUCAAUCUGACAAACCUUGCAGUGAAUAAAUGGAAACAGUGGCGUUUGUAUGAUAGAACAGUAAUAGCAGGAGUGAUAAGGACAGAUGCAUGUAGAUGUGUCUUCAUGUCGGAAACACUACUAGAGAAAUUGAAAUAUUUGGGUUUUUCAAAACUUAAAAGAAAUUGGAAUACCAGGAGACUGCUUGCCCUUUGCAAUGUUGGAUGAUGUGAUGUCGAAAGCCUCAUGAAUAUAGUAACUUGACUUAAUCUAAUAAGAAAAAGAAAUGACAUUGAGGAGAAAACUAGUCACCAGUCUUUCACCAAGAACAUGAGAUAACUUUCCAAUAUUUGAAAUAUCAUAAUAUGUAUAGAACUUUAAUGAGCGAACAGUUUUUCACCAGGAAAAUAAGAUCACUUAUCUAUUUUUGAAAUAUGUAUGAACAGAACUCUAUCAACUUCAAGGUGAGAGUUUAUCACAAAGAACAUGAGAUAACCUAUGUAUGAACAGAACCACAUUUGUAUAUAGAGGCGCCAGUUCAUCACCAAGAAGAUGAGCUAACUUAUCAAUGUUUGAAAUCUGUUAUACCCCCGCACAACAAAGUUGUAAGGGGGGUAUACUGGAAUCAGCUUGUCCGGCCGUCGGGAGUUUGUCAGUUUUUUCUUGUCCGUCCAAUAACUUAAGAUUCCUUUGACCCACAGUCUUCAUAUUUGGCAUGGAGGUAAGUCAUGAUUAGUAGAUGACCUCUUUUAAUUUUGAGAACACCAAGUCAAAGGUCAAGGUCACAGGGUCUUGACUGAAGAAAGCUUUUCUGCCCAAUAACUUAAGAAUCCUUCGACCCACAGUCUUCAUUUUUGGCAUGGAGGUUAGUCAUGAUUAGUAGAUGACCCCUAUUUAUUUUCAGGUCACCAGGUCUAAGGUCAUGGUCACAGGGGCCUUGGCUAAUUAAAGCUUGUCCUCCCAAUUACCUAAGAAUCCUUUGACCCGUAGUCUUCAUAUUUGGCAUGGAGGUUAGUCAAGAUUAGUGGAAUACCUCUAUUGAUUUUGAGGUCACUGGGGCAAAGGUCAAGGUCACAGGGGCUUUUAUUACAAUUAGCUUGUCUGCUCAAAUGGUCUUAUAUAUUCAUCAUAAAACACCUCCAGGCAAGGCUGCAUGAAAUGGGGGGGUGUUAUUGAAGUCAUUCAAUGGCAGUUUCAGUUUUGAGGUCAGUAGGUCAAAGGUAAAGUUCACUUUGAUCUUUUCCACUAAAACAUGUAGAAUACAUAACUUAGCAAUGCACUGGCUUACUUCCCUCAGAUUUGGCUGGGAGGUUGUCUGAGCUGUAAAUGACUACUGGUGUGAUUCUGACAAAUUGGUAUGUGGGGGUAUUCACGCCAUGACAAUGGCAGUUCUAGUUUGUACAGAAAAUAUCAAGGUGCAAGUUUCUUUUAUUAAGAAUAGACUUAUUGAUUAGAUAACUUACAAUAUUUACAAACAUUUAUAAUACCAUACCCAUUUAAAGUAUUUCAGCUGAGAGUGUAUUAUCCAAAAUACAUGUAUUGUUAUAAUGUACUUUAUAGUAUAUUUAUUGUAAAGUUUUGAUUCUACUAGAUUUUAAAAACAUUUAGAUUUUA